UAUCAUUAUCAUUACUCGAAAUAUGCUUAUGAAUAAAUUGGUUUUAUUAGUAGAACAUGUAGUACAAUUAGACUUCCUUUUUCUUGCAGACAACUUGACAACAAUAACUUUGGAGGAAAUAGCAUUCCAGAUUCUUACGUCAACAUGUCAAGAUUGGUCAAAUUGAGCCUUAGGAAUUGCAACUUGCAAGGACCGAUUCCGGACUUAAGCUUGAUACCGCACCUUCUUUUUGUUGACCUUAGCUUCAAUCAGUUGAAUGGAUCAAUUCCUCCUAAUAAGCUUGCUGAAAAUAUCACAACUGUUAUUUUAUCAAACAACAAUCUUACUGGAACUAUUCCAUCCUAUUUUUCUGAUCUUCCACGUCUCCAGACAUUGUCGCUUGCAAACAAUUCAUUGGAUGGAAGUGUUCCUUCCAGCAUUUGGCAGAACAAUAUUUCAAAUGCUGGUAAAAGAUUGCUACUAGAGUUGCAAAACAAUCAAUUUAUAAACAUAUCAGAAAAUACUAAUCUUCCUCCAAAUGUCACACUCUUGCUUGAUGGGAAUCCGCUAUGCUCAGAUAACACACUGAAUCAGUUCUGUAAACUUGAAGGAGCUGGUAGUGAAACAAAUGGCACAUCUCCAAAAAACUCCAGUGACCCUUGUCCAAAUCAAAGAUCAUCUAAGAUCUCAAUGCAAAUUGAUGGCACAAGAGCUUUUACUUAUGAGGAGUUGUCUGCUGCUACAAGCAACUUUGACAACAAUGCUCAAAUUGGACAAGGAGGCUACGGGAAGGUUUAUAAAGGUAUUCUUUCUAAUGGAACUGUGGUUGCCAUAAAACGUGCACAGCAAGGAUCACUGCAAGGCGAGAAGGAAUUUCUCACAGAGAUAAGAAUACUAUCAAGGAUACAUCAGCGCAACCUUGUGUCUUUGAUUGGAUACUGUGAUGAAGAAGGGGAACAGAUGCUGGUUUAUGAAUUUAUGCCCAAUGGCACUCUAAGAGACCACGUUUCUGUUACAUCAGAAAAACCUUUGACUUUUGCUAUGAGAUUGAAGAUAGCACUCGAGUCAGCUAAAGGUCUCAUGUAUCUGCACACAGAAGCUGACCCUCCGAUAUUUCACCGAGAUGUUAAAUCAAGCAACAUAUUAUUAGACUCUAAGUUUACUGCAAAAAUUGCAGACUUUGGACUUUCACGACUUGCCCCAGUUUCAGAUGUUCACGGCGUUGUACCUGGUCAUGUAUCCACGGUAGUAAAGGGCACACCGGGUUACCUUGAUCCAGAGUACUUCUUAACUCACACAUUGACUGACAAGAGUGAUGUUUACAGUCUUGGUGUUGUGUUUCUAGAACUUUUGACUGGGAUGCACCCCAUUGCUCAUGGGAAAAAUAUUGUCAGAGAGGUUAAUCUUGCUUUCGAAUCGGGCGAGAUAUCUUCGAUCAUUGAUAAAAACAUGGGGUCUUAUCCAUUUGAGUAUGCAGAAAAGUUUUUAAAUUUGGCUCUGAAGUGUUGUGAAGAUAAGCCAGAGCCACGUCCUAAAAUGGCAGAAGUGGUUAGAAUACUCGAAAACAUGUGUUCUGUGAUGAUAGAUUCAAAUACAAUGAGAGAUACAUCUACAAGCAAUGAUUCUCGCGAAACAGUCAGCCUUCUAGGCACAUCUUCAUCCUCAACCAAAAAGACUCCCUUUGUAUUAAGAACUGUAUAAUGUACCUUUUUAGUAGAGUAAUCCCAAAAACCAAGGCCAUAUAGAACUAAGUACAAAUUAAAAGUUAGUAGCUUUAGCAAUAAUGGUUGAUUUAAUGUGUGGUUUGUGAUUAGAUAUUAGUCUAUGAAUUAAAUGAUGAGCUCAUAUGUUAUUACAUUAGUUUCUGUGAGAUGUUUUCAUGUUUAUAAUUGUUGAAUAGAUAUAACUUUGUACAUUUGAUACAAGAUUGCAAAUGUCCACGUGCUUGGGUUUUGUUGGUGUAAGCCUUGUGUAAGGGUGUAAGUGUUUCCCAUGUUGAGAUGUCAACUUGUACGGCUGGACAAAACUCGAAGGCCCGUUAAAAAUUGGUCGUUUAAUGAAGGGAAUUUCUCUUUACACCCUGUCAUCUUCUCCUAGACACUUGACGAACAGUCAAAAUUUUCCCCCUUAUAUUCGGAGAUACAUCUCCGAACGCAUCAUUUCUUCAUUUUACUUAAAGAUUAAUUUGGAGAUGCAUCUGCGAAGGCCCUUCGCCGAAUGGGUUCCAGGAUAUGUUCUCAGUUACAUCUCCAAAUUAACUUUUCAGGGAAUGUUCGCAGUUACGUCACCGUCAUCAUUGCAAUCUUUCGCAUGUUAUCACUUCCGACAGACUUCUGCAGAAGAUCCCAUCAUUAUCCCUCUUGUCUGGGAGAUCAUGGGUCUGCAAAAUCUUAAAAUCCCCACUAACUCUUCCACUUCUCGAACACAAAACGCCUAAUAACUGUCACGCUUACUUGUCAAUUACUUUGAGUACCACUUUUGCCUAUAAAUAUCCAUUUCACCAUCUCAUUCAUUCUUUUUUUUUUCAUUCUUUCAUACUAUACUCCUGCGCUUCAGAAAAGAAAUAAAAACUCUCCAUUCUUUCUUCCUUCAUCUAUGGCUGCUUCCGCUUCCAACUCCAAGAUGGACACCGUCAAAAAUCCUUUAGCCUUUGUCAUUCUGUCAGCGGAAGAAGACACGAUUGAGAGCUUUAUUCCAGAACCACCGCAAGACAAAGAGAAAACCUCCAUUUGGAAGUUCCAGGUACUCAUAUGUUUUCCUGUUUCUGAAAAACUUUUGGCUUUUCUAGGACCAUACUAUACCCCGAAGUCAUCCCCUGAAACGGUGAAAGACUUUUUUCCUUGUUAUCUUCGUACAAUGCCUCCAGCAUUCGAACAACGCAUGUUAGACAUGAAAUUUCUAGAUCCAUCUGAACGUGUAUUCCGAUCAGCUCCCACACUAAAUAAUAAAGAAUACAAUGCGUGACUCGACAGAGUACAGAGCCAUCAAAAGGAACAUUGGAAAACCUAGGUAUUUUCGACCUGAUACAGCUCUCUAGAAUUGGCCCUAGGUACAACCCCUUAUGUUAAUUGCUUUGAUCUUUUUUGGGAAGGAUCGACGAUCACCUUUCAACUCCCUAUGGUCACGCCAAUUCUCUUCGACGUGGCAGCUAUAACGGGCCUCUCACCUCUAAGAGAAGUUUUCGACCUUACUCUAGAAACCAAUCAAAAGUUUAAUUUUGACAAUUCUAACUUCAAACAGUAUAUUGCCGACCACCAUGAUAAAGUCAAUGAAGAAGAUUUUGACAUAGAGCAUGUUGCAUUUUUUGACCCUUUGGCUUUCUUCUUUCUGCUUUUGCUCAGGCUCUUUGCAAGUAGCAAAGGGUGACAUUCCUUUAGCAAUUCAGUUUCAUGAGGGUGGAAAGAUAUCCUUGGGUAAACUGCUACUGGCAGAUUUGUAUUUAUCACCUUGUUUCUUGAAACAACAAUAUUUGUUUUGACCAUGGCUCCUUUUGUGGAUCGAACUGUUGGUUACACCUAGUUUAGAAACAAAUUUUUUUGGUGUUUUGCCUGCUGCUGCUGCUGCCACAUCAACCAUUGUUUAGGCGACAUUUCUAACUCCAACACUCUUGUCCAUAAAAUCCUUGCUUAGGCUUCACCAUUUAUCAGCCAACUCUUGUAGCAACACAAUUUGGUUUUAGCCAAAUGGUCCCAAAGUCUCUCUACAAGUGGGCAGAUGAUAUUUGCUAGUCGGAGCGUAAACUCAGCCCACAACAAUAUCGAGACUAUUUGAAGUUUCAACACAACCAAUUCUUUGAAUUGCCAACAUUCAAAUUCCAACAAUCUUUCUAUUAGACAAAAGAAUUCGAAGAAUGGUGGUCGAAGUACCUUAAAGGCGCCUUUUCUAAACCAGUUUUUCUUCCAAGGUUGGCAACUGCCAUUUCUAAUUUACCGGAAACUUUGGUAGCCAAAACAGGUAUACAUCUUUACAUCUUAAAACAAACCCCAAAAAGUAAGUUUUUACCCGCUCUCUUUGUUUUCUCUUAUCAAAUUCGACAUAGCCUUAACUCUGUCUUUUCCCAGGGUUCAAAGAGAGGUCAUGAUUCUCCCGCUGCUUCCAUAAAACCCAAGAGGAAGAAAAUUUCAAAAACUUAACAAGAUACAUCAAAGCAACCAGAGGGCCAAAUUGAAGACACAAGUUCCCACAACAACGAAAAGACUCAAAUCCUAAAACAAACCCGUGAAAAGCGACCAACCUCUAAUUGAUGAACUAGUAGAAGCAACAACCAUAAAUCCACCCACUCUAGACCCAAAGAAACAAAGUCAAACUAUCAAUGUAGAACUCCAAGAAAAAGAACAAAGUCCUAAGGGCCUCUAAAAACUCGGGAUCGACCCUGGUCUCUGGCACUUCGGGGAUUUUGUGUGAUAUUAUUGUUGCCUAAUAUGGAGUUGUCCGGUCUUCUUCAAUACUAGUAAGGAUACUAGGGUCUCUUUGUUUGGUGUCUUCUUGGUGGAAGUGAGUUGCUCUUCUUGAGUACAAAGUUGAGGACACCUCGGAUUGGUUUAUGGACCACUCCUACAAAUAAUAUAUUUUAUUAUAAAGCUUUCACCCCAGUCAAUAAAUAACCGAGCUUUCAUUCCUGACACGUUGCAAGCAGUGUUUUAAAAAUCAGACCGGACCGGCCGGUCGGAUCAAUCGAACCGGGAACCGGCCAGGUAACCGGUCUGGUUCAAUAGUCAGAUCAGGUAUGCCAUCAAACCGGUGGGAACCGGUGAAAAUCGGAAAAUCGGCGGUUUAAUUGCUUCUUUUUUUUUAACUUUUUUUUAAAAUUUUUUUUAAAACUUUUUUUUAACAUUUCUUUUAAACUUUUUUUUAAAUAUAUUUAGUAGUGUAUUACUUAAAUAGCAUUCUCACAUAGUUUUUUUCG